AUUUUUUUAAUAAAUUAAAGCUGCUAACUUUGAUUAGGGGAUAUAUCUCUCCAAAAAAAU
rnacentral:tRNA from 1 species